GACGAACGCUGGCGGCGUGCUUAACACAUGCAAGUCGAACGGAAAGGCCCCUUUGGGGGUACUCGAGUGGCGAACGGGUGAGUAACACGUGAGUAACCUGCCCUUGACUUCGGGAUAACUUCAGGAAACUGGGGCUAAUACCGGAUAGGAAUCCUUGCUGCAUGGUGGGGGUUGGAAAGCUUCGGCGGUUUUGGAUGGACUCGCGGCUUAUCAGCUUGUUGGUGGGGUAGUGGCUUACCAAGGCUUUGACGGGUAGCCGGCCUGAGAGGGCGACCGGCAACAUUGGGACUGAGAUACGGCCCAGAGUCCUACGGGAGGCAGCAGUGGGGAAUAUUGCACAAUGGGCGGAAGACUGAUGCAGCAACGCAGCGUGCGGGAUGACGGCCUUCGGGUUGUAAACCGCUUUCAGCAGGGGCGAAGCUUGUGGUGACGGUACCUGCAGAAGAAGCACCGGCUAACUACGUG
rnacentral:rRNA from 1 species